rnacentral:rRNA from 1 species
AAUGGGCGAAAGCCUGAUGCAGCAACGCCGCGUGCGGGACGAAGGCCUUCGGGUCGUAAACCGCUUUUCUGGGGAAAGAGCAAGGACGGUACCUCAGGAAUAAGUCUCGGCUAACUACGUGCCAGCAGCCGCGGUAAAACGUAGGAGGCGAGCGUUAUCCGGAUUUACUGGGCGUAAAGCGCACGCAGGCGGCUCCGUGAGUCGGACGUGAAAGCUCUCGGCUUAACCGGGAGAGGCCGUUCGAUACUGCGGGGCUUGAGGUAGGGAGAGGAAUGCGGAAUUCCCGGUGUAGUGGUGGAAUGCGUAGAUAUCGGGAGGAACACCUGUGGCGAAAGCGGCAUUCUGGCCCUCACCUGACGCUGAGGUGCGAAAGCGUGGGUAGCAAA